rnacentral:rRNA from 1 species
UACGUAGGGUGCGAGCGUUAAUCGGAAUUACUGGGCGUAAAGCGUGCGCAGGCGGUUAUGUAAGACAGAUGUGAAAUGCCCGGGCUUAACCUGGGAACUGCAUUUGUGACUGCAUGGCUAGAGUUUGGCAGAGGGGGGUAGAAUUCCACGUGUAGCAGUGAAAUGCGUAGAUAUGUGGAGGAAUACCGAUGGCGAAGGCAGCCCCCUGGGUCAAGACUGACGCUCAUGCACGAAAGCGUGGGGAGCAAACAGG